rnacentral:rRNA from 1 species
UGCAAGUCGAACGCUUCUUUCCUCCCGAGUGCUUGCACUCAAUUGGAAAGAGGAGUGGCGGACGGGUGAGUAACACGUGGGUAACCUGCCCAUCAGAGGGGGACUAACACUUGGAAACAGGUGCUAAUACCGCAUAACAGUUUAUGCCGCAUGGCAUAAGAGUGAAAGGCGCUUUCGGGUGUCGCUGAUGGAUGGACCCGCGGUGCAUUAGCCAGUUGGUGAGGUAACGGCUCACCAAGGCCACGAUGCAUAGCCGACCUGAGAGGGUGAUCGGCCACACUGGGACUGAGACACGGCCCAGACUCCUACGGGAGGCAGCAGUAGGGAAUCUUCGGCAAUGGACGAAAGUCUGACCGAGCAACGCCGCGUGAGUGAAGAAGGUUUUCGGAUCGUAAAACUCUGUUGUUAGAGAAGAACAAGGACGUUAGUAACUGAACGUCCCCUGACGGUAUCUAACCAGAAAGCCACGGCUAACUACGUGCCAGCAGCCCGGUAAUACGUAGGUGGCAAGCGUUGUCCGGAUUUAUUGGGCGUAAAGCGAGCGCAGGCGGUUUCUUAAGUCUGAUGUGAAAGCCCCCGGCUCAACCGGGGAGGGUCAUUGGAAACUGGGAGACUUGAGUGCAGAAGAGGAGAGUGGAAUUCCAUGUGUAGCGGUGAAAUGCGUAGAUAUAUGGAGGAACACCAGUGGCGAAGGCGGCUCUCUGGUCUGUAACUGACGCUGAGGCUCGAAAGCGUGGGGAGCAAACAGGAUUAGAUACCCUGGUAGUCCACGCCGUAAACGAUGAGUGCUAAGUGUUGGAGGGUUUCCGCCCUUCAGUGCUGCAGCAAACGCAUUAAGCACUCCGCCUGGGGAGUACGACCGCAAGUGAA